rnacentral:rRNA from 1 species
GAUGAACGCUAGCUACAGGCUUAACACAUGCAAGUCGAGGGGAAACGAUAGAGAAAGCUUGCUUUUCUAGGCGUCGACCGGCGCACGGGUGAGUAACGCGUAUCCAACCUGCCCAUCACUUGGGGAUAACCUUGCGAAAGUAAGACUAAUACCCAAUGACGUCUCUAGAAGACAUCUGAAAGAGAUUAAAGAUUUAUCGGUGAUGGAUGGGGAUGCGUCUGAUUAGCUUGUUGGCGGGGUAACGGCCCACCAAGGCGACGAUCAGUAGGGGUUCUGAGAGGAAGGUCCCCCACAUUGGAACUGAGACACGGUCCAAACUCCUACGGGAGGCAGCAGUGAGGAAUAUUGGUCAAUGGACGAGAGUCUGAACCAGCCAAGUAGCGUGCAGGAUGACGGCCCUAUGGGCUGUAAACUGCUUUUAUAAGGGAAUAAAGUGAGUCUCGUGAGAUUUUUGCAUGUACCUUAUGAAUAAGGACCGGCUAAUUCCGUGCCAGCAG